rnacentral:lncRNA from 1 species
AUGCUCUCGGGGCGCCCUGCCCCCAAGCCUGCGGCCCGGCCCGCCCCACCUCCCCGCAGCCCCCGGGCACCGCUGCAGACCAGCCGGGCUGGGAGCACCGCGGGGAGGUGCGCGGGGGGCGGGGGCGGGGACGGGCGUCCCCCGGGACGCGGGCGGUCCCAGCCCUGGGCGCGCAGUCCGCAGCGGGGCACCCAGCAGCCCCGAGGGGCUCCCCGGGCGCCCAGCUCCGACGACGGGCGAGGCGGGCGUGCACCAGCUCCGCUGCUCGGCUCGGCUCGGCCCUGCGCUGGGAACUCGGGCGGGUCCCCACCUGCUUGGGCCCCUUCCUCCUUCCUUCCACAGAAAGAUAGAGAGCAAGUUGGAGCCAAGGGAUAGAAGAAAGGCAAUGGACCCCAUUUGGGAGCAGCAAUGCAUGUAAGAUGAACAUUUACCAAGUCUAUGAGGAAUGAAUAAAUGAAUAAAUGAAAGAAUGAAAGGAAGUCA